UCCUGCUUGGUUUGAAAAUUGCAAUAAAUGAAAAAAGAAGUCUGUUCCAUUAUGACUAAACCAGUGAACUCACUCUUGAGAAAAUAUGCUAUUUGUCCUUCACAAAGGAUGCCCCCUUGAUGCCAAGUAGGUUAAUUAAUGCAGAGACGGAAAAUUCUAUUCCAUUAGGAGGAUAUUUUCUCGGGACUAUCAGGAUCUAGCAAUUUGGAGAAUAUGAUUUCAGCUACGAGCUUUCCUAGUUUUGCCCUGGGACCCAGGUAUACAGAUGGCCUAAGAGCCACAGUGUGGACAUGAUCUUGGAGAGGCAGCAGUGAGUGGUGGCAUGAAGUGAGAUCUUAAUUCCCUGCCCAGGAAUUGAACCUGGGCAGCCUGGAUGAAAACCAGGAAUCCUAGCCACCACACCCCCGGCUCUUGCCCCCAGUGAAAAAUGCAUUGCUCACGGAGGCAAAAACUGUAAAAACAGGUACAAAGUUUAUUAUUAGAGACAUAGCACACAGAGAAACAGUUUGUUUAGUUAAGACAGAAGCAAGGCAGAGAUGCACAUCUGGAUAGAGAGGGUGUGGGCGUCCCCCCUAAUGAGGAGAAGCGCAGUAAAAAGGUGGUUAAAUCAUUUAUACAGGGCAGUUCUUCUGGGUCUUUGUGUACCUUUGGCCAAUUAUCUGGUUUCUUCUUCUACACCUGACCUGCCCUAGGACCCUCCCCAAUAUGCCUGUGCAACUUUUUUCCAAGAUGGAUUUCAGCCCAGAGGCCUAUGAGACGGCCUUAGCAUCACACAUUCUGGGGUGGUGUGCCCUCCUUUUUGACCCCCAAGGAACCUUUCUGCACAUGUGCAGUGUCUCCCUUGCCCCAAGGAUGGGAAAUAUAUGACCUCUUGAUCCUUUACUCAAACAAGGGUUAGCCCCUCUCUAUUCCUGCCAUGACUGUUAUCUUAAGGUGUUCACGGGAGACAAAGCCUGGGUAUUUACCCUGUUUCUGCAGUUACUUCCAUUUCAGAGAGCAAACAGGAGGCUGAUUUUAAAUGUCUAAACUGAAGCCCAUCUAUCUCCUGUCUCAGCAAAUGUAAACAGGAGACUAAGUUGUAAGUGUCGGAAGCCCACUUUUUCCUGCCCCAUGAAAUGUAAACGGGAGGUUAGUUGUGAAUGCCUGGCUUGGGGCCCCUCUAUCUCCUGCCUCAGACACACACCCAGUCAGGGGUCUCAGGGCACCCAGGACCCUGGGAUAAGCAUUUCCCCCCGUAUUUCUACUCUGAAGUACUAAAUUGAUUGCUUGGUUCACAGUCAACCCAGGGUGCAGGGGGCCAAGGGAAAUGUAGUCUUUCUCCCUCUUACUGUCUUCCUGGUCUUUAGCGGCUUCCUCUGCGCAUGUGCAACGUAGGGACCGCCUCACCCCUUCCGCUUUCAUGUGCCUCGAGGUGAGAAGAACCUGGAGCUUUGGUCGUGGCAGGUGCAGGGCUUGCGUGGCCUGAGGCUUCGCUGAGAGCGGCGUUCUUGUGGCGGGGGCAGAAGCGGGACGUCGCGGGACGUCUCGGGCCGCCCUCUGGCCCAGGCGGGACUGCAGUGCCCGGGUCUGGCCUGGACCUCCGCCCUGGGAAGCUGAAUCUUCAGUCCUCUGCACCUUCCUAAACGCUACAGAAGAUGAACAUAUCUGAGAUUCGUUAAGUGAGAUGAGAGGAAGGCUCAUCUUUGGUCUAUCUUAUACUGAACCAAGGGCCAGCCAUGACCAAGCACCUCCACCUAAGGGAGCAGCACCAAUUUCGUCAGGACUUUCUGCCAGCUGAAUCUUCAGUCCUCUGCACCUUCCUAAACGCUACAGAAGAUGAACAUAUCUGAGAUUCGUUAAGUGAGAUGAGAGGAAGGCUCAUCUUUGGUCUAUCUUAUACUGAACCAAGGGCCAGCCAUGACCAAGCACCUCCACCUAAGGGAGCAGCACCAAUUUCGUCAGGACUUUCUGCCAGGUGCAGGGCUUGCGUGGCCUGAGGCUUCGCUGAGAGCGGCGUUCUUGUGGCGGGGGCAGAAGCGGGACGUCGCGGGACGUCUCGGGCCGCCCUCUGGCCCAGGCGGGACUGCAGUGCCCGGGUCUGGCCUGGACCUCCGCCCUGGGAAGCUGAAUCUUCAGUCCUCUGCACCUUCCUAAACGCUACAGAAGAUGAACAUAUCUGAGAUUCGUUAAGUGAGAUGAGAGGAAGGCUCAUCUUUGGUCUAUCUUAUACUGAACCAAGGGCCAGCCAUGACCAAGCACCUCCACCUAAGGGAGCAGCACCAAUUUCGUCAGGACUUUCUGCCAGGUAGGGACAUACUCCCUUGCUCUCUUGCUGUGACUCCAUCUAAUAGGCUCCCCACACCAACCCUGAACACAAACCCAAGAGCAGAGUAGAGGGAUUUUUAUUUCUUUUUCCCUGCUGUCAAUCCGGCAUCUGGAAGAACAGGUGUCACACGACAGGUUAUAAGAAUUACAAAGAAUAAAUAAUAAAUACACAGAAAAGAUAUUUUAUAUAUAUUAUGUAUAUAGUAUAUGAUUAUAUAUACUUUAUCUCUAUUAUUAAUCUUUAUGUUAAAGUCUAUUAUGACUUAUUUAAUAUAGCUCCACCAGACUUUUUGUGCUCAUUAUGUUUAAUUCAUUAUAAGGUGUAUAGGUUUGCUAGGUCUGCCAUAACAACAAAGUGUAGACUGGGUGUUUAAGCAAGAGAAAUGUAUUUUCUUACAGUUUGAGAGGCUAGAAGUUCAUAAUCAAGGUGUCAGUAAAUUGGUUUCUUCUGUGGCAUCUCUGCUUGGCUUGCAGAUGGUCUCAAGCCAAGGAGAGAUGAAAUAUAUUUGACAUAUAACAUUGAAAUAUAUUUGACAUAUUUUAAUUGAAAUAUAUUUCAAUUUUAAUUGAAAUAUAUGACAUAUAAUAUUGUGUAAAUUUAAGGUGUAAAACAUGUUGAUUUGGUAGAUUUAGGUAUCGUAAUAUGAUUGCCAUUGUAGUGACAAUUAGCACCUUGAUCAUGUCAUGUAAUUAUCAUUUCUUUUUGGUGAUUGUGAUAAUUAAGAUCUAGUCUUUUAGCAAGUUUGAUGACUAUAAUACAAUACUGUUGUUUAUAUUCACUAUAUCGUGCUUUAGAUCUCUGGGACUUUUUUAGUGUUGCCCUCUUAUUGUGUCUUCAUAUGGUCUUUCUUCUGUAUGUAUGCAUUCCUUGUGUCUCCUUGUGUAGCCAAAGCUUCUUAUAAGAACACCAGGUAGAAUGGAUUAGAGCUUACCUUCACAGCCUCAUUUUAAUGUAAUUACUUCUUGGAAGGCUCUAACUCUGAAUAUAGUUACAUUCUAAGGUACUCAGGGUUAGGGCUUCAACAUAUUGAUUUGAGGGGUUGGGCACAAUUCAGCCCAUAAUAGAAGUACAAAUAAUGAUAAAUGUUGAAAAUCAGUGGCUUGUCAUUAUGUGCAUGAAUAUCCAAGAUCAUUAACAUUAAAACUAGUUGAAAAAAUAAAUCAGAGAAUAAAGCAAAAAACAUUGUUACUAUAUCAAAACCAACAACUUUCCCAUGUGCAAAUAAAUACAUAUUAUACCAUAUGUGAAAAUGUUUCAUUUACUAUAAGAAUCCAAUUGAAAGAACUGAAUCAAUGUUUGCCUAUAUGUAUAUCUAUAUAUAGAAAACUAUUAAACUACAUAAGGGAUCUAAAGGAGAGUGAGAUAUACAGUGGCCAGAAGUAUAUUAUUGGCAGACUGGAUAAUGUCAUUAUUUUACCAUUGUAACAAUAUUAUGUCUCACUUCAAUUCAUAAGUAUGAUGCUAAUCAGAACCUCAGCAUGAUUAUUUUUAGAGAUUUGGCCCUAGAAAGUUAUACUGUUUCUCUUGAUGAAGAGCUUGUGAGAAUAGCUAGGGAAAUUCUGAAAAUUGAGUCAAAAGAUAUGAUUAUCAUAGUUAAAUCUAUAAGAAAGCUAAAGUAAUGAACACAUUGUGUAAAUGGUGCAUUGAUAGAUAGACCAAGGGAACAACAACAACAAA